CCCGGCUGCCCGGGGCAGUGGCAGGGGCUGGCGUGCUAGCUGAAAGACCGGCUGGACGCCGGGGACCCCAUCUCUCCACACUCAAGCCCCCCCGCACAGCUCCCGCCUGCCAGCGAGAAGAGCCUAACAUUUCUCAUCUGUGACGUGGAAUCGGGGCUCUGCUGGGAUCUCGGGAUGGUGCCGACGUUCCUCGGACAGACCAGGAGACGCCAUGGCAGUGAGGAAAACCAAGUCUCAAGGAAGCCAUUCGUCCGGAAGACUGCUGGCCCACAUGAACCAUGAUCUCCUCUAGCCUGAGACCAGAAAAACUAGAUGGUGCCUAGCUGCCUCUUCUGACCAUUCUGAUCCUGGUUAGGAUGAGAGAAACAUGUAGGCCCAAACUCAAAUUCAUACAAAAGACCAGACUUCCUGAUCCAAUAAGGGAUGGGAGGAAUCCUGGACAGUAUGGCCUAAGUCACCUGCUAAGGUGGAGAAGAAGGCACUCCUAGAGGCCAUCUCUCAACCAAAGAACAGACUGGUCUAUGGCAGAAACAAGGAGCCCGAAUGGCGCCGUGGGUUGUAUUGGGCUGCUAAGGUUGAUGGUUCAAAACCACUCCCUACUGCUUGGGAAACAGAUGAGGCCGUCUGCUCCUAUAAUGAUUUACAGUCGCGGAAACCCAAUGGAGCAGUUCUACCCUGCUCUACUGGGUCACGAUGCGUUAGGAUCGACUCGACAGCAGUGGGUUUUGUUACGGAGUAAACAAUAACGCCAGUGAGACAGGCGCUGCUAGGAACAGCCAAGUAUACAAGACCAAAGGAGCAACAGCCAUCAGCAAAGUUUCCCGUCUGUAAAUUCGCAUCAGAACACCUCCCAUGCCCAUUGGUAGGUGACAAAGUCACGGAAAGAGCUCAGUGUCCCUCCAGUGCCCAGCAGCCAGCAGCGAGCUCUGCAUACAGGGUUGCUGCGUGCCCCAGUGCCCAUUUCAGCUCAUAACGACCUUUUACGACACAGUAGAACUGCCCCCUAGGCUGGAGUCUUUAUGGAAACGAUCAGGUCUUUCCCCACGAAGCCACUGGGGGGUGGGGGUGGUAUUCCAAGUACUGAUAGAAAUUUCAGUUAGAAGCAAAUUGUUUAAGCAUGGUGCCGCCAAGGCUUCUUCUGUACCCGGCAGACCCUUGAAAUGUGACAGGAUUGAGAAAUACAACUUUCCUCUAGUUCCUAAAUGUUUCCUCCCCGCUCCCACUAC